rnacentral:rRNA from 1 species
GAUGAACGCUGGCGGCGUGCCUAAUACAUGCAAGUCGAGCGAACAGACGAGGAGCUUGCUCCUUUGACGUUAGCGGCGGACGGGUAAGUAACACGUAGGUAACCUACCUAUAAGACUGGGAUAACUUCGGGAAACCGGAGCUAAUACCGGAUAAUAUUUCGAACCGCAUGGUUCGAUAGUGAAAGAUGGCUUUGCUAUCACUUAUAGAUGGACCUGCGCCGUAUUAGCUAGUUGGUAAGGUAACGGCUUACCAAGGCAACGAUACGUAGCCGACCUGAGAGGGUGAUCGGCCACACUGGAACUGAGACACGGUCCAGACUCCUACGGGAGGCAGCAGUAGGGAAUCUUCCGCAAUGGGCGAAAGCCUGACGGAGCAACGCCGCGUGAGUGAUGAAGGUCUUCGGAUCGUAAAACUCUGUUAUUAGGGAAGAACAAACGUGUAAGUAACUGUGCACGUCUUGACGGUACCUAAUCAGAAAGCCACGGCUAACUACGUG